AUUCAGUCUAAGUACACACGAAUUAAAAGGGAAACCGGAAAAGGCUCAUUAUAUCAGUUGUUGUUCCUUAGAUCGGUAACAGUUACUUGGAUAACUGUGGUUAUUUUAGAGCUAAUACAUACAAUACAAAUACGGACAAAUGGAACGUGUGCUUUUGUUAGGCUAAAACCAAGCGAUCUUUUUGGUCGUAUAAUAGUUGAACUCUAGAUAACUUGCAGAUCGUAUGGUCUAGUACCGACGACAAAUCUUUCAAAUGUCUGCCCUAUCAAAUUUUUAGGACUACCAUGGUUGCAACGGGUAACGGGGAAUCAGGGUUCGAUUCCGGAGAGUGAGCCUGAGAAACGGCUACCACAUCUAAGGAAGGCAGGA
rnacentral:ncRNA from 1 species